GUCAGCAGGGAUUUUUCCGGUUCGCGUCUGAUUGGCUGGUUGUGGGUGUUGACGUCACGGCCCUGCCAGCUGAUCGGAGUGAGAAGCCGGUUUGAAGAGAGGAGUUGGCCCGGAGAGAUAGACCGGGGAGGGAGCCCCUAGGAGCAGCGAGCAGCACGGGGUGGGACCGGAUACUCAGAUUGGACCAUUUUAACAUUUCUUUUUAAACGUUAACACCGGAGUGCAACGAGACACACAAAGCGACAGUCUUGUCAGGGGUGAACUUGCGGGCUUUCGCGUCUCGUCGAAACCUCUGGAGCUGUCAGAGAAAAAUUGAUUGAGAGUUAAGGUGUGGCUGUGGGUUUCUGUAAGGCUUUCUGCUCUGAAAAAAAAUGUUACAGAACCGACUGUUUCUGCUCGGGAGUUGCCAUCUGAGCCGAGACUCUUAUAUCUACCAAUGGUUUUAAAGAUUCUGUACAGUCAUUUUCAUCAAGGGAGAUAUUACAUAACAAAUGUAUUGCCAUCUUGAUGUGCGCACCUUUUGGCUUAAAUCCCUUCGCUGUAGUCAGAUUAAUUGGACCAUUACGCAGUUAAGAAGUAAGUAGAGUGUGUUUUUUUUUACUGCUUGGCAGGUCGUUUUGCUUUCAUAAGUCUGUGAAACGUAACGGACGUGGCAACUUUACAGUAGCCAGCCCUGCUGAAUGCCACAGACAAACUGGGCGUGGGGGAAACAGUCCGAACAGAGCCUAAUAAUCCUCAAAUCUCAUCCACGCACGGCCACUAAAUUGCGCAUAUUAGAGGUAGUAUCGCCACUCGGCCGAGCGCCUCGGCGGACCCAGUGGAUUUACCUGAACCAAAUAUCUCCAGGUGCCCACACUAGAUCUGCUUUUAACCAACUUUCGACCAUGGCAUCAGGAUCUACUUCCAGGAGUCUAGAGGUGAUAAUUGGUGGAGGGAAUCGGCCUGUGAGUGCAUUAAGAGAUUGUGGAAGGAGGGGAUGCAUGAGGAGGAGAAGCACCUGCAAUGUGCCACACCCGUGCCGCUAGACCUGGGUGGCCUGUACCUGUGCCUGUGCCAGCUGCUGUGCCAGCUGUGCAGGGGUGAGCGAGCAGAACAGCAUCACAGAAAGAGGUGAACAGACAGCUGCUGCAAACAGAGAGAUGGAGAAGCAUCAAUAAAGGAGGACUGAGUCAGCCUACACACCAUCAAUCAUAAUAUAUUCAUUACUGGCUCACAGUUAUGUUACAGCAUAAAACUUCUCAUUAAGUUGAAAGCAUUUAGAAUUGGAAUUAGGGGCUGUAUAAUAUGUACUUUGCUGUGUCAUGCACUUGCAAAUGUUUUAUAAUUACAGAAAUUGUGUCUGUUUCCAUUUUUCAACAUUAUUUUGAAUUUCUUGCAUUUGACUCGUGGUUCAGAGUCACAUGGCGAAAGGUGAACUACAGCACUUCGGUGUUCCGGGCUCGAGGCUUAUAGACUUAACUAACUUCCUACAGCCCCCUUCCUUGUUUGGAGACAUACAUUAUACUGCCAGAGGGAACAUAAACAAUAAUCUUCUUAAGGUGUGAGCUGCUCUGAGCAGUAAUAGCAAGUCCUUACUCAAGCAAUUUACUGUAUAUGAAGUUGAGAUAGUGACUAGUACUGUAUCGUAAUGCGGUACUGUACAGUACUGUACCGUAAUCAGAUCCCAACGCCAUGUUCUCAAUUCACUUCACUAGCAGAAAACAGCCUCUUUACAGUGUGCAACUGUAACCUAGAAUAGACAAAAGAACAGGUGAAACAUUAACAGUGGCUCCUUUAGGUGUGAGCUAUAUCAGUAUUCAUAGAAGAGACCUGGGACCUCCAUAGAAAGCCAUAGCUCAUGGUUUUGAUAACAGUUUUGCUUUCAUGCUAUGGCGUGUUAAAAUGUUGCUAUUGGCUGAAGGUUGGUUUGCAUUUUUAGUUCACUGUUGUUACUCAUUUGAAAUGGUUAUGAAAGCCUUAUUUCUUAGUUUUUUUAAAGCAAAAAUAUCUUCUUUUUUGAGGGAAUUUUACUAAUAUAGUUUGGAAAAUGUAAUACCAGUCACAUCAUUGCACAGCAUGUAUCGACAUCAGGCCAUUGACUUUGACCCCUAACUGUUAGUAGAUUAACUUUGUCUGUUCAAAGUCCUCCGACCCUCACAGAGAAGGUCACAGACAUUUUCUGAAGAAGAUUAAUCGAAUUCUGUUCUCUAUCUGCUGUAGAGAUAUUCUCCCUCAGGACAUCUAUUUAAGAUGUGAUCUAUGUGCCUUAUCACUAGCUUUCAAUAUAAUGGCUAAUGGAGUGAUAGAUGAUGUGUUUGAGCGUACUUUGAAAUAGAAAGUCCGAGAACAAAGCGCUAAUGGACAAGAUGCACAUAUCCUAGAUUUGGCAGGAUGGAAUAAAUUGCAAAUAAGUGGAGUUCUUUUUUCUUUUAGACUAAAGUAUUCUCUGGUGUGGUGUCUGCUGUCCAGCCCUUGUUCACCUCUUAAGUCAAAGCAGGAAGAAGCUCCAAGGCCAGGUCUGAAGAGGUUUACAAACCUCUCCUAAAUUCUUCCCUGUGGGUAAAAUCAUGUGAAAGCUGCUUAGGCAGAUUAUCCCUGCCUCGACGGCAGCUGGCAGCGAGAUCCUUGGGAGUGCACCUGACUCAAUACUGGUGGUGACGCAACCACAGCCUGUGGCACAGCGUGCUCCAACAAUCCUCUGUGGCCUUUAGCCCCUGAGGGAAAAGUGCAUCUUGUGGUUUAAAGCAAGCAGGAACUAAAUAGGAGAUCACACACACACACACAUAAUGCGCUGAUCCAAAUGCAAGUGAUCUGAUUACUCAAAAUUUUGAAAUGUUUAAUCUGUUAUAGAUAAAGCAUGAUAAAAAAAGUUAUUAUAUUGUUCAGGAAUGUGUUUUAACUCAUUUAGAUUGUGUAAUAAUUAUGGAUAAAUAUUACAAUUCUAAGUGAUUGUGCGUAAGUGGUGCUUAAUUAGUGUUUAAGCUUGUGUAUUUUAUAUUUCUGGUAUUAUUAAAUAAUAUAACACCGACAACCAUCCCUGUUUCCUGGACUUAUUUCCAUCAUUGUCCCUGGUAUUUACACAUUCUAAUAACCUUAAUCAAGACGGAGACAAACAAAAAGAGUCAAUUUACUGCAAAAGUGAGAUAUAUUAGAAGAUAAGAACAAAGAACGACAAAUCUGAAUCAUAUGAGCGAACAAUGAAUGAAAUCCUGCAGAUUUGUAGCAUCAGCACUAUUCACUCAACCCAUUGUUUAUUGCGACAAACAAAUCAAAUGUGAUUAUAUGAGCUCUCCAGCUCCCUUUUUAAGGUGUCAUAUACAAUAAUAGUAUUGUAUGGUGAGCCAACUGUACUGUAUUUUGUCCUUCGUAAUCUUAAAAUAUUAAAAGUCUCAAUUCAUGUAAGGUAGCUGCUUUAGGACACUUUAAAUCUGGGUGAGGGAAUUUUGUCCAUGCAUGCUCAAAUAUGCCAGGAACUGGCAAUUGGAUGGAAAGUGUCAUUUUUCUAAAUUAGGUGUAGGCAUAAGUAGAAGAAUGGUCUCCUUCCAAGUAGAUUUUAAUGAGGUCCCAGGUGCACUGUCACCUCAUGAAAACACAAUGCUCUAAUAAAAUCCAUGUCCUAUCACACUCAGCCACUGAAGCAAGUUUUAUUAAAAAAUGAAGGGACUUCAAUUUCAGUGCUUCAGGAGUCCUUGCCAUGUAGAAAGAAAUAUCAGUGGCAGAGCAAUUGGUUUGCUGAAGUGAGAAAUACUUUUUCUUUUCAGUUGAUGCAGAGGUAAACUAUGGUGCUUGGAGCUGUUGGAAUACUCUUCAUUCCUGAAAAACUACAAUUUCAGGGACCAUUACACAGCCCACAAAGCUAAAUAUACCAAACGCAGUGUCUAGACAACAGCUGCAGUCUUUGAUUUAAAAACUAAAAAAGUCUAUUUUUUCUGUGAAUCACAUGAAUUUAAAAACAGAUUAAUGCAAAGAGGAACCACGGCUCAUUCUUGGAGGACAAGAUGGUGAUAGAAGAGACAUAACUGCUGGGUGAUGGCUAAAAACUAUAAGUCUGACCUUUGUCAGUUUAACGAAGUAUAAAGCUGUCAGGAACCCAAAAUAUAAGAAAAGUAAUACAGACACAAAAAUAAAUGUACAAAUCCUUUGUGAUAAUCACUCAAAAUAUUAUUGUUUCACUAUUCAUACACACGUGUGUGUAUGUAUAUAUGGCAUUGCAAAUCACUGAAAAUGUAAAUAAAACACAGUUUUAAACAUGUCUUUUAAAAUAAAAUGUGUUACAGUUUACACACAUAUAUAAAACAUCUGCUGAAGAAUAGACAGACUCCAGAGGGUUCUCUCUGUUUUCUGAAAAAAAGAAAAAAAGAGUACCAAUGCUUUUGAAAUAAACACAUUGAUUUAUUAGGAGUAUUCACUUGCUUGAUCUAGCAAACUUUGUGAAAUGUACAAAAAUGUCAGCAACUCGCUCAUGAGAAUUGAAGUGUAAUUGUAUAAAUGUCAGUGAAAUGUGACAUGUGGUGAGGUCUGUUUUGUAUCAUACUGUCUGUCUUCAGGAUUGUACAGUUUUAUUUUAAAUGUAGGAAAUGUAUCACUGCGGUCUUCUGUUUUGUCUCAUGCAACCGUGUGGCUUCGAUAGAUGAACAAUGAAUAAAGCAAUUUACUGAAACAGUCAAUACUGUAACUGUCUUUAGAGCUUUUUGUCAUAUUUAACUGUGUAAUAGACAUGAUCAUAAAUCAUAUGAGGAACCACAGUAUAAGGAGCACAUUACUGGCACCAGUCUCUGCAAAAAUUGUUCUAGCCUUCAUAAACCUAAGGCAAAGUAAUCUUGUUUGAUUUUGUCAUGAAUGUUUUGAAUGUGGAAACCCAACAGGUGAAAAUACAAUCAGGGACAAGUCAGAAAAAGAAGGAUAGGUUGAGCAGACGUUGGAUUUGCAUCAAAAUCAGAUUUUUAACCCUACAUUUCUAGUAACACAGUUGUCUAAUGCUGAUUCAAAGAUGAAAAUGUCAUCACAGCAAAUGUGUCACAAAAAGGUGCAAACUGGGAUUUGAAAACCAAUGUACAUCCAGGGAUUGAAAGAUUACGAAGUAGCCUACACCCACUUACCACUGUGCCUAAGCCAGAAAGCAUCCUGUCUCAAAGGGGCCCCUACCCGUGAUGUGUUCUACACAUUGCAGCCGAUACUUGGCCGGCACUGAGCUCCCAAAAUAGAUAGUAGUUCCAGAUAGGUGGGCUGUGAGGCGAAAGAGAGAGAAAGUGGGAAUGCAGUGAGAGUGGGACGCAGGAUAGUGUAACAAAAGGAAAGAGAACCGGUAUUGUGUGUCUGCAAUCUGCUGCCUGCACCCUGCACUCCUAAUUCACUGUGUGUGUGUGUGUGUGUGUGUGUGUGUGUGUGUGUGUGUGUGUGUGUGUGUGUGUGUGUGUGUGUGUGUGUGUGUGUGUGUGUGUGUGUGUGUGUGUGUGUGUUUGUGUGUGUGGCUGGUGACGUCAGCAAAG
rnacentral:lncRNA from 1 species